rnacentral:rRNA from 1 species
UACGUAGGGUGCAAGCGUUGUCCGGAAUUAUUGGGCGUAAAGAGCUCGUAGGCGGUUUGUUGCGUCGGCUGUGAAAUCCCGAGGCUCAACCUCGGGUCUGCAGUCAAUACGAGCAAACUAGAGUGUUGCAGGGGAGACUGGAAUUCCUGGUGUAGCGGUGAAAUGCGCAGAUAUCAGGAGGAACACCGAUGGCGAAGGCAGGUCUCUGGGCAUUAACUGACGCUGGAGGAGCG